AUGGCGGAUGAAACUCUUCUGAAGCUGCUCUUUGAGACACCUUCUGGUUUUGCAAUCUUGGGCAUUGAUGGGGGUUUUCUCUUCGAAGAAAAACCGCUUGAGAUCAUCUGGACUAAAUUUGCCAACAAAACCACGGUUGACCUGGUGGCCUGUGAAUGUGAAUUCCAGAAGUUCGAGAACAAGUCAGAUGCCAUUAAUCCUAGUUCUGGUAUAGAUGGACGCCUUGCUACAAUGAUUAAGAAAUGGUGGUUUGGAGAGAAACUUCUUGUUGGAAAGCUUGAGCAUAAAUACAUUAUUGAAAAAGAACUGAAUAUUGUCUGCCGCUAUGAUGAACUUGUCUUGGAAGUGAUGUGGGGCAUGAAAAACCUGUUACAUAUCAUAGUUCCUGAAGAGGAAUUAGAGCUGAGUGAUGAGGACAGCAAGCAUAGGAGCAAAGGAUUACAAAUAUUCCUGCAAAAUCUUAACUUCGUCAUCAAACCUGGUCUAGUUAAUGGACAAAUUACAGAAACAGCAUGCUACGUGUAUCACUGUCUAGAACAUAACAAGGAGAUUCUUCGGUGCAUGCGUGUGACUGGUGUUCUUGAGAAAGAAGGCAUCAACACUCAGGGCUGGGAUGCAUUGAAGUAUGUGACAGCUUUUAUGCUCAUGUGUACAAAUGAAGAUCCAUCUGAGCCUAAUCAGGGGUUUUCAGCAGAGGAUCUUGCGAAGAUAGUUGGUGGUAAAGGGAAAUAUGAUAAGGGACUCCUCAAGGACAAUUUUAUGUUGAUUUACCGAAAAGCGGUCGAUGUCCACCAAACUAAAGUUGUGAAAUUACAAGAGUUGGAUGCUUUGGUUAAGGAGGCUAAAGAAAGGGCAGGAGAAGCUCCGCAGUUGCAAGACGUGGUGGUGUCUGUCACGGAGAAGAGCAAGAUAGAGCCUUGA
rnacentral:rRNA from 1 species